AGCGAGUGAUACUUAUCACGCCGAGGGAACCAAGUUCCGUAGGUGAACCUGCGGAAGAAUCAUUACUAGAGCAAAGGAUAGACAGCGCCCGGCGGAGCUCGCUCCGGGGCUACCCUACUCCCGUAGGGUUUAGAGUCGUCGGGCCUCUCGGAGAAGCUCGGUCCUGAACUCCACCCUUGAAUAAACUACCUUUGUUGCUUUGGCGGGCCGCCUCGUGCCAGCGGCUUCCGGUGUUGAGUGCCCGCCAGAGGACCCCAACUCUUGUUUUUAGUGAUGUCUGAGUACUAUAUAAUAGUUAAAACUUUCAACAAGGGAUCUCUUGGUUCUGGCAUCGAUGAAGAACGCAGCGAAAUGCGAUAAGUAAUGUGAAUUGCAACAAUUCAGUGAAUCAUCGAAUCUUUGAACGCACAUUGCGCCCUCUGGUUUUCCGGGGGGCAUGCCUGUUCGAGCGUCAUUAUAAAAACUCAAGCUCUCGCUUGGUAUUGGGGUUGGCGCUUUCGCGGCCCCUAAAAUCAGUGGCGGUGCCUGUCGGCUCUACGCGAUGUAUACUCCUCGCGAUUGAGUCCGGUAGGUCUCUUGCCAGCAACCCCUAAUUUUUUUAAGGUUGACCUCGGAUCAAGUAGGGAUACCCGCUGAACUUAAGAUAUCAAUAAGCGGAGAUCCUUGCGCAGGUUCACCUAC
rnacentral:rRNA from 1 species